rnacentral:rRNA from 1 species
AACGAACGCUGGCGGCGUGCUUAACACAUGCAAGUCGAACGAGAAAGUCCUUCGGGAUGAGUAUAGUGGCGCAAGGGUGAGUAACACGUGAGUACCUAGCCUCGAAAUGGGGAUAACUCAUCGAAAGGUGGGCUAAUACCGAAUAACGCAGCAUAUUGAUGAUAUGUUGUUAAAGAUGGCCUCUAUUUAUAAGCUAUCGAUUGAGGGUGGGCUUGCGUACCAUUAGCUAGUUGGCAGGGUAAAGGCCUACCAAGGCGACGAUGGUUAGCUGAUCUGAGAGGAUGAUCAGCCACACUGGCACUGAGAGACGGGCCGGACGCCUACGGGAGGCAGCAGUGGGGAAUCUUGCGCAAUGGGCGAAAGCCUGACGCAGCAACGCCGCGUGGAGGACGAAGGCCUUCGGGUCGUAAACUCCUGUCGAAUGGGACGAAAGUGUUAAAGUGAACAAUUUUAACAUUUGACGGUACCAUUAGAGGAAGCCUCGGCUAACUACGUGCCAGCCGCCGCAGUAACAC